AUACUGAAACAAUUAAAACUAACACACCAAUUACAACAAGUCCCAACCCGGCUGGUCCCCGUGGGACUUUAAGAGACCACCACCCUCCAUCAAAAGGAACAACCAGAAAACAAAACUCAUUAAAAAUAUGUACAUACAAUGUGAAAUCUUUAGCUACAACAACAAGGUUUCUCGAACUGAUACUGGCACUAGAAAAAGUAGAACAUGAUAUCGUAGGACUUGCCGAAGUAAGAAGAAUGGGGAUUGGCAUCGAAGAGCAUGAGAACCACAUAUUUUGCUUUAUAGGCGAAACAAAAGGCCUUCAUGGAGUGGGCUUUUUAAUAAAAAAAAAUCUAAAACAGAAUAUAGUCAACUUUAAUGGCAUUUCAGAAAGAGUAGCCCUACUUCAAAUGAAAAUUGACAAUAAAGCUUUAUCACUAAUACAAGUCUAUGCCCCGACAGCGAACGCGAACAACGAUGAUAUCGACAAGUUCUAUGCAGAUCUAGCAAAAGCUCACGACUUAGCAGAUGAAAAAUUAAUAGUUAUGGGUGACUUUAAUUCAAAGAUUGGACACCGUCAAGAACAUGAAUGGUUAAUAAUGGGACAACACGGUUACGGCAACCGAAACGAAAGAGGCGAACGAUUAAUUCAAUAUGCUUACGAGCAUAAACUCUUAAUAUUGAAUACCUUUUUCAAGAAAAAGCCUAGCCGUAGGUGGACCUGGAAUUCUCCCGACGAAACGACAAAAAAUGAAGUAGACUUCAUAAUGUACAACAAUUCAAAAAACAUUUCAAAUCUCGAAGUAUUAAAUAAGAUUAACUUUCCUUCCGACCACAGACUUUUGCGAGCGUCCUUCGAUCUAGGUACACCAAAACUGAGUCGAAAAAACUUUAAACUAACUUCAAAAUCAUUAAAAACUAAAAGCGAAAAAACUAAUUAUUUAAAAGCACUAGAAACUAACUUGUCCAAACAAAGUGAAACACUAGAAAAAACACAAGAUAUCCAGACUUACUAUGACAAUCUUGAAAAAAUCAUCAUCUCUAGUCUAAACACAAAAAUGGAAAACAGCAAAAGAGAACAUAAAAUACUUUAAAAAAGAAACACUAGAUUUGAUAUCCCAACGAACGGAAUUAAAGUCUACUAAAAAUAAAACUAAAGAAUUAAAAGAAGAACUAAAAUCUCUUUAUAAGAAAACUAACAAGGCGAUCAGAGAAGACUAUCAGAAUUACAGAAAGACAAUUAUAGAGAAAAACUUGACAAAAUUUAGAAGUGCUAAACGGGCCUACAAAGAACUGAGCACACAUAAAAACUGGAUUCAAAACCUCAGCCAAAAACAAAAAGAAACCAAAUCACGACAAGAAAUAAUUAAAUGCGCAACAGCCUACUAUAGAGAGCUUUACAAAAACAUGCCGGACAGUAACAACUUAACAGAGACUAUGAUUAACGAGCUUGAAAAGGAACCUAAAAUUGACGAAAUCUCAGAAAAAGAAGUAUUAAAGCACAUCAUAAAAUUAAAAUCAGAAAAAAGUCCUGGCCCAGACAAUAUCAGUAACGAAGCCUUAAAUGUGGGAGCUCCACUGCUUUUCACAUUCUUGACUAGACUGUUUAAUAUGGUAUUUAUUUCUGGAACUGUCCCGUAUCAAUGGUGCAAGUCUGAAAUUGUCCUGCUGUAUAAAAAAGGAGAUCCAAGAGAUAUCAGUAACUAUAGGCCGAUCAGUUUGUUAUCCAGCAUCUACAAACUUUUCUCAUCACUGUUGUUAAGCAGAAUAGCAGACAAAAUUGACCUCUUGCAGCCAGUAGAACAAGCCGGCUUUCGCUCCAAGUUUUCAACAAUAGACCACAUCCAUACAAUCGAACAACUUUUAGAAAAA